rnacentral:rRNA from 1 species
AUGAUGUGGUUUAAUUCGAUGCAACGCGAAAACCUUACCCACCUUUGACAUGGCAGGAAUCCCGAAGAGAUUUGGGAGUGCUCGAAAGAGAACCUGCACACAGGUGCUGCAUGGCUGUCGUCAGCUCGUGUCGUGAGAUGUUGGGUUAAGUCCCGCAACGAGCGCAACCCUUGCCAUUAGUUGCUACGAAAGGGCACUCUAAUGGGACUGCCGGUGACAAACCGGAGGAAGUGGGGAUGACGUCAAGUCCUCAUGGCCCUUAUAGGUGGGGCUACACACGUCAUACAAUGGCCGGUACAGAGGGUAGCCAACCCGCGAGGGGGAGCCAAUCCCACAAAGCCGGUCGUAGUCCGGAUCGCAGUCUGCAACUCGACUGCGUGAAGUCGGAAUCGCUAGUAAUCGUGGAUCAGCAUGUCACGGUGAAUACGUUCCCGGGUCUU